rnacentral:rRNA from 1 species
AAGCAGCCAUCAUUUAAAGAAAGCGUAAUAGCUCACUGGUCGAGUCGGCCUGCGCGGAAGAUGUAACGGGGCUAAACCAUGCACCGAAGCUGCGGCAGCGAACGUAUCACUUAAAGCGAUUCAGCGGGUUACGAUUGACGGAGCGAAGCGACGUCAAAGCGUAUACAAAGUCGAGUCGGUUUAAGGAUACGUUCGUUGGGUAGGGGAGCGUUCUGUAAGCCUG